GACGUAGGGGCCGAGCGUUGUCCGGAGUUACUGGGCGUAAAGCGCGCGCAGGCGGUCGUUCGCAUCGUCGGUGAAAGCCCCCCGCUCAACGGGGGAGGGUCCGGCGAGAUGGGGCGACUGGAGGCAGGGAGAGGCCAGUGGAAUUCCGGGUGUAGUGGUGAAAUGCGUAGAGAUCCGGAGGAACACCGGUGGCGAAGGCGGCUGGCUGGACCUGACCUGACGCUGAGGCGCGAAGGCGUGGGGAGCGAACGGG
rnacentral:rRNA from 1 species